rnacentral:lncRNA from 1 species
AUGGUUAUUCUAAUUUUUAUUAGAUGUCCAAGUAUUCGCUCUCCAAUGAUGAUCCAUAUAGAAAUCGAUCCAAGAACAGUGCUCCUUCUUGAACCUUACUUCAAGAGUUUUUAUUCUUAGAACUCAAAUAGCUUUUCAACUGAUCACACCCUCCUUCAGAACCAAGUCUGAACGUCUCAGAAUCUCCUUUGGGCUUUGAUCUCCUUUUUUAAGACCUCUUAAAUCCUUUGUCCUAAUAGAAGUAGUCUUGUCUUAAAAGAACAAGACCUUUGUCCUAAGAAACUAGAGUUGUA